UACGAAGGGGGCUAGCGUUGCUCGGAAUCACUGGGCGUAAAGCGCACGUAGGCGGCUUUCUAAGUCAGGGGUGAAAUCCUGGAGCUCAACUCCAGAACUGCCUUUGAUACUGGAGAGCUCGAGUCCGGAAGAGGUGAGUGGAACUGCGAGUGUAGAGGUGAAAUUCGUAGAUAUUCGCAAGAACACCAGUGGCGAAGGCGGCUUACUGGACUGUAACUGACGCUGAGUCACGAAAGCGUGGGGAGCGAACAGG
rnacentral:rRNA from 1 species